rnacentral:lncRNA from 1 species
GCUAACAUGGAGAACAAGCUAGGUACAGCCGACUAGCGCUAACAGGUUGCCAUGGAGAACAAGCUAGAUACAGCCGACUAGCGCUAACAUGGAGAACAAGCUAGGUACAGCUGACUAGCGCUAACAGGUUGCCAUGGAGAACAAGCUAGGUACAGCCGACUAGCGCUAACAUGGAGAACAAGCUAGGUACAGCCGACUAGCGCUAACAUGGAGAACAAGCUAGGUACAGCUGACUAGCGCUAACAUGGAGAACAAGCUAGGUACAGCCGACUAGCGCUAACAUGCUAUUAGCACAAAAACAAAAUGAC